rnacentral:ncRNA from 1 species
AAAAGUCGUAGUGGAUCUGGGAUGAGCUGGCGCUCUGCUGGAGGCGAGACAACGCCGUCCAACCCUGCCUUUGGCGCACCUCGAUGCUCUUAGCUGAGUGUCGGCGGGGCCCGAAGCGUUACUUGAAAAAAUUAGAGUGUUCAAAGCAGGCCCGGUUCCUGGAUACUCCACUAGGAAUGAUGGAUUAGGCCCCGGUGCCUAUUUCGUUGGUUUUUGGAAAUGGGUCCAUGCUAAGAGGGACGGCCGGAGUCAUUCGUAUUUGCCGCUAGCGGUGAAAUUCUUGGUCCGGCCAAGACGGCCCAGAGCGAAAGCAUUUGCCAAGAAUGUUUUCAUUAAUCAAGAACGAAAGUCGGAGGUUCGAAGACGAUCAGAUCCCGUCGUAGUUCCGACCAUAAUCGAUGCCGACUUGGGAUCAGGGGGUGUUAUUGAGAUACCCCCCCCCCCCCCCCCGACCCCUGAGGAGAAUGGGGAAGGAAAGGCU